rnacentral:rRNA from 1 species
CGGCAAAAGCUCAAAUUUGAAAUCUGGUCCUAGACCCGUGUUGUAAUUUGUAGAGGAAUGUUCGGCGACGUCUAGGUCUGAGUCUUCUGGAAGGAAGCGCCACUGAGGGUGAGAGCCCCGUAUGGCUGACGACUGAACCAUGUGUACAUCCUUCGA